AUUGAACGCUGGCGGAAUGCUUUACACAUGCAAGUCGAACGGCAGCACGGGGGCAGCCCUGGUGGCGAGUGGCGAACGGGUGAGUAAUACAUCGGAGCGUGCCCGGUCGUGGGGGAUAACGUAGCGAAAGUUACGCUAAUACCGCAUACGAUCUGAGGAUGAAAGCGGGGGACCUUCGGGCCUGGCGCGAUCGGGGCGGCCGAUGUCAGAUUAGGUAGUUGGUGGGGUAAAGGCCUACCAAGCCGACGAUCUGUAGCUGGUCUGAGAGGACGACCAGCCACACUGGGACUGAGACACGGCCCAGACUCCUACGGGAGGCAGCAGUGGGGAAUUUUGGACAAUGGGCGCAAGCCUGAUCCAGCCAUUCCGCGUGCAGGACGAAGGCCUUCGGGUUGUAAACUGCUUUUGUACGGAACGAAAAGGCUCUGGCUAAUACCUGGGGCUCAUGACGGUACCGUAAGAAUAAGCACCGGCUAACUACGUG
rnacentral:rRNA from 1 species